AGUUUAGCUUUUACUAGUGAUCUUUAGUAUCAGUGUGAGGCCACCACUGAGAAGAACAAAAGUACUGCUGGGCAGUGUAAGAAUGCCCCUCUGAGGGCUGCAUAGGAUCCAAAAGGGUCCAGGCUAGCUGUGCAGCCAAACUCCAAGGACUUAACCUUGACCCCAUCAGAGGCUAUGACUCAGGGGCUAUCUCAAUGUCCUUUGGAAGUCUGGUGGACAUCCAAUUUCUAGGCGUCCUAUUUCUGUGGGAAGCAGCUGUUAUUUCUUUUUAGACAAAACUGAUUAAUCCAUAGGUUCUUUUUUUUUCCUCCCCUGCUCUGUCUGUGUUUGCUCUCUUGCAAGCAGCUGCUUCCUUCUUUGGGCAUUAACCUUGAUGGCAGCUCCCAGACUGAGUGCUAUCGCCUGUCUCUCUCCUUACUCUUGUGUUUUGCUUUGCAGGUCUGGGGAUCUAAGGAGGGCCUCAUAUGUGUUUGACAAGGUCCCUGCCACUAAGCAACACCCUUAGUCCACAGUCUAAAACGCCCCUUCCCCUUAACACACAGAGCUUUGCUGUGAACUUGUUGCUUUCGUGGGAGACUCCCCUUGGGCAGAAGUUCCAUCAGUCUGGCUGGCACAGUGUUUUCUGAGCAGUCUCAAGCAGCCCUCCACAGAGAUGCACGUAGAUUUACACAGGGCGUACACUACGUUCCUGUCACUGUUCUUUUCCCCUAAAAUCAAACUGGAUUAGACUGAAUUUCCCCAAAUACAAGACUUUCCUGUUUCUUAAAACGAAAGAAUGCAGCGACCUGUUCUUAAGUACAAGAAAUAAAAAAGGUAGGGCUAAUUCCCCCCUUCCUCAGUUUACCCCUUGCAUGCAGAGCCCAUGAAUACAGGGGUUUAAAUGGAUUAGUGUUGCGUAGCACAAACACUCCAACCCAGAUGUUGAGCUAAUGGAGUUGUUAAAAUAACCAAUGCAGUAGACUGGGUUACCAAUUGGCCUUACGUAGUUCGUCAAAAGAGUGGUGAAUAUUUAGGGACACAGUAAGGAGAGUCAUUCUCUCUGUCUUCCUCCUCUUCUGUCCCCUCUUCUCCCUCCUCCUCCUUGUCUCUCUCCUCCUCUUCUCCUUCCCUUUCCUGUUUCUCUCCCUUCCCAUGUCUUCCUGUCUUCCUUGUUUUCUCAUAUUCUCUUCUCUUCUGCUGCCUCUUUUACUCAUCAGCAGCUAGCAGGUCAAGACGUAAGCACACAGCCAUGGAUAGCUAUAAGUCCUCCUGAUUUCUGUGGAUACCAAGAUCAUUUUUAAGAUACAGAUUUGUCAAAGUCUUCCCUGCGGCACACUCAAGAACCACAGGGUAACUAUGAAUGUGGCCUAAUACGAAACUAUAAACAGGGAAUAUUAUGAAUCGCUACCCCACCCCCACACACACACACCAACUUUGCUUUGUAACCUGAUUUUGUAGUUCCCAAGUGUGGACUUUGUAGAUGACAUUGCUGAUUUCAUUAUUGUGUCAAAAAGUUGGACACCCUCACUAGUCUGGUAGCUUUUAUGAUAUGGUACUUCUGAAAAUGAUCAGGUAGAAAUUCUUAGGUGUUGAAAUAUAGACUCUGAUUUCUAUGCACCAUCAUGUUUUAUGGAGAGGUUCUUGUUAAAGUAAUCUGGUAAUCUCUGUAUGUGUGUGCACUUACAUUUCAUGCAUGCAUCCGUACUGAUGAAUACCAACCAAGGAUGGUUGUACUGAUAUUUUUGAAAUAAUAUAGUUUGCUCUUGGUACUAAGAAGAAAGAACUGUGUAGCAUUCUAGUUUAAUUUUAGUUGAGCAAAAUUUAAAAUCAGCCUCAGGUUCUUGGUUAUUCGUUAACUCAAACUUAAAAUUAGAAGUGUGGAAAUAACUUGCUUGGCAGUUCGGACUUUCUGAGGGAAACCAUAUCAUGUUGUGUGUGUGUGUGCUUUUAAAAAUAGAUCUCAUAGCAGAGAGAUAGGCUUCCCCAUCUGUAUUCCUGGCUGAUUGCUGCAGAGGUGAGCAGUGGUCUAUCAGACAAGGGCUAUGAGUUCACAGCUCUCCCAAGAGGGCUGCAUACUAGCUGCAGCUGCCUUCAGUUCAUCUUUGGUCAAAGCUCUUUUGUUUUAAGCUAAGUGCCAGAGGGUAAACACUCUUGACCCAGACUGUAAAUAUUUGUCAUACAUCUGGUUAGUUUAGCUUUUAACUGAACAAAAUCAUUUUGGCAGAAGAGUCGUUAAAGUUUGACAACCUACAAAUUACACAAAACCCUGACUUCACAUCCCUCGUUUUCUCACACAGGCGGUGACUGGCUUAUGAAGCGUUUCUUCCCUGGUGUUGAAAAUGCCCUGAAACAUGUAUUCUUAAGCCAAUGAAGCAUAUAAACAUGGAUGAAAAACAUGAGCCAUGUGUAAAUAUGUGUGAUGUCUUCUGUCAGUCCCUUGAGGAUCAUUAAUUGAAUGCUUUUCCAUAUUAAGGGGCUCCGGGAAAUGGCUCUGUGGAGAGUGCUUGCUAUGAAAACCUAAGAACCUAUUCUGGGCCACGUAGGUGGUAGCAAGCCAGUCCCUCUUGCAUUGCCACUUUUGGUAUAAAGUCCCCUCUGCUGUGCUCUGGAACCUCAGAGCCUAUGUGACCGUCCUUGUUCUUGGAAUGCAAGUGUCUAUGACAUGUCAAAGUUCAUUUAUGGAUUGGAAUAUGGCUCAGUGGUAGAAAGAGUUCUUGCAGUGCGUAGUAGAGAGCUAGUGUUCAUGAAGCCUUGAGUUCCAGCCCCAGUCCUCUGGAGAGCAAUGGCAUCAAUUUGUAGCCCAGGAGGAGGGGCUCUGUGGGCUUUGGGAGAAGCCUUGUGUUUGUGAAAAGGCACAGCAGUUCAGAUCUGUCUCUCUAGAUGAGUGAGACAUGAGUAGCAAGAAGACUUUCAAGAUUUGCUAGAGAGGGUCCUGCCUGGGCUGGGCAUUGUGAGUCUGUGAGAAGCUGUGUUGAGGAAAAUGUGGGUUGACCUCACUUUUAGUUGUUCUUUGCUGUGUCUAAUCC
rnacentral:lncRNA from 1 species